rnacentral:rRNA from 1 species
CGCUUAUUGCGCGGCGAUAACCUUACACACAUUGUCUAGUUUUUUUGAACUUUGCUUUGGGUGCAUCAGCCUAGCUGCGUGCCCAAAGGUCUAAACACAUUUUUUUAAUGUUAAAACCUUUAACCAAUAGUCAUGAAAAUUUUUAACAAAAAUUAAAAUCUUCAAAACUUUCAACAACGGAUCUCUUGGUUCUCGCAACGAUGAAGAACGCAGCGAAAUGCGAUACGUAUUGUGAAUUGCAGAUUUUCGUGAAUCAUCGAAUCUUUGAACGCACAUUGCACCCUCUGGUAUUCCAGAGGGUAUGCCUGUUUGAGCGUCAUUUCUCUCUCAAACCUUCGGGUUUGGUAUUGAGUGAUACUCUGUCAAGGGUUAACUUGAAAUAUUGACUUAGCAAGAGUGUACUAAUAAGCAGUCUUUCUGAAAUAAUGUAUUAGGUUCUUCCAACUCGUUAUAUCAGCUAGGCAGGUUUAGAAGUAUUUUAGGCUCGGCUUAACAACAAUAAACUAAAAGUUUGACCUCAAAUCAGGUAGGACUACCCGCUGAACUUAAGCAUAUCAAUA